rnacentral:misc_RNA from 1 species
AAGUCGUAACAAGGUGUCCGUAGGUGAACCUGCGAAGGAUCAUUAACACGUGCUCUUGUAACCCGCGUAGUUCGCAAUCUCUGAUAAAUCAUAGCCCGGAAAGUUGUAGUGAUUCAGAGACCUCUGGCUACGUGCGAACAUUGGAACAGUUACAAUCGAGCGGUAGUUCUAUAGGCAAUGUUUCCCCAAGCAGUCAGUGUCGGAAAGUGUCAUUGAUUGUGCAAGGAUAGCGCUUCUACGAUUCCUGUAGACCGUACACUCGGGCAGGAGCUUUGCCAAAGGGUCCCCAUGCCCCCUAAUAACCCCACAGUUUAAUGUGAAGCUCAAUGUAAUACAUUGGGUAAAAAAACCGAACAACUGUUAACAAUGGAUAUCUUGGUUCUC